GGACUGUCCUCGUCACACAUGAGGAGACAGAGGUGAAGUUACUCAGGCAGCAUCCCGCAACUGUGCUGUGGACAUCAGGACCUCUGCACUUUCAAAGGCAGCUUGUACCACUGUAUGAGCGGUAGGAUUUCGGUUUUAUACUCUGUGUCCCAGAGUGGGGACUGGUGAUAUAAACUGGUUCACACACGGAGUCAGAGGACGUUCAACAGCACAGCCCUUUCAAAUCGAGGCAAUGAGCCCUGAUACCCAGCAUGGAAAGAGCUUACGGCAUGGAACAUGAUUAAAUGUGGAGAUAAAAGAAAAGUACACAGCUACAAUUACCUUGGAAACAGGUCCGCGGAAGACAAUCUCAGUUUUGCCCCUCUGUCUGGCCAGUUAUGCAGUCUGGCUCCAUACAGGCCCUGCCAGCCUUGGGCGAAGCCAGCCACUCCUGCCACAGCCAUCCUCUGUGCUGCUGGCUGCUCUGAGGCAACAUGUGUGAAGCAGCGUUCUGAGGAGAAGAUACUCGCUAAGUACACGUUACUUUCUUUACUAUCUUUGAUCUUCACAGUGAACCAAUGAGAUCAUUGCGUCCCCUCUCCCUUCACAGAUGACUGUGAGGCUCAGAGACAGCCCUGGCUUGUUCCUGUC
rnacentral:lncRNA from 1 species